UACGUAGGGGGCGAGCGUUGUCCGGAUUUAUUGGGCGUAAAGAGCUCGUAGGCGGUUUGGCAAGUCGGGUGUGAAACCUCCAGGCUUAACCUGGAGACGCCACUUGAUACUGCCAUGACUAGAGUCUGGUAGGGGACCAUGGAAUUCCUGGUGUAGCGGUGAAAUGCGCAGAUAUCAGGAGGAACACCAGUAGCGAAGGCGGUGGUCUGGGCCAGUACUGACGCUGAGGAGCGAAAGCGUGGGGAGCGAACAGG
rnacentral:rRNA from 1 species